CACUGCUCACUCUCUUUAUCUAAAUUAUUCCGCAAGUUGGUAGAACUUGCAUGCCCAUAAGUCCAUAACAUAGGUUUCUUUGAAUAUUAUAACAAGAUAAAUUUAGAAUAUAGUCAUGAGAACUUUGGUUCUAUGUUGUCAUUUGGUUUAGAACUAUGUAGCUACAACAUAUAUUUAAUUCAGCGCAAUAUAUGUUAGAUCAGAUAGCCGAAUCCAUGAGCUACAAACAUUUGAUUUUGCUCCCUGGUUCAUUCAGUAGGUUUAGUUCGAAGAAUAGUAUUUUCUUUCUUUGAUUACUGUAUAGAGAAGAGUGUCUAAGAGACCCGCUUGCCGAGCGGAGUCCAUCUGGGGAGGUUAUUCCCUCUACUAAGUAAUUUUAUGCUCUAUGCUUUCGAGGUCUGGCUCAUAGGACAAGCUAUAAUAUGGAAACGGAAUGCUUUGCAAAUGCAGAGUAUCAGAUACUGGUGUUCUAUUGUUCUAUUCAUGACCCUACACAUGAUUACAAGUAUGUUGGCUAACAUGAUAGAUAGUACUACAUGUACGUCCAAUUUUCCUGCAAUUGGUUUAUUAGAUAGCCUGAGUAUUCACCAAAUUGUUCUAUACUUUAUCUUUGUCUUCCCUGAUUUUAAUUAACCCCGUUGAGCUUGUUUAUGACGUAGGCCGAGCCUUGUGUUGUGAGUAUCCCAGGCCGAAUGAUGCUUGAUCUCCUUUUAGAGGAGCUUGAGUUGCCGGCAGCCCGUUACGGUCGAAGGGACUAUUUAAAUAACACCAUGAGUUUCACCAUCAUGUUCUGGACCUCUGUUCCAAGGGAAGAAUGUCAAUUACUAAUUACUAAGUAAACAAUCCAUAGGAUCUGCAUCAUGCAAUGAAGGCAAAGCUCUGUAUUUCCCAUAUUGGUGAACAGGGGAACUUAAGAUCAAGUUAGUUUUAUUGUGUUUCAUAGAUCUUCUGCAUAUCAUAUUCUCAUGCUUAAGAAGGAAUCUUGAAUUUCCCAGAGGCUCAAAAGUUAAAUAAAAACGAUAGAGAUCAUGGUUAGAGGUUACUUUUUGUGUAGAAAUAAUAGGUUAUAUCUUCUGCUUUCUACCAGAAGAAAUGAUAAAUCAAGGUGGAUAAUAACAGGUUAUAUCACAAUAGUGAUCAAAGGGAAUAGAUAUACUUUUGCAAGUCAUCCAUGGAAUUUUAUCAGACAAAUUUAUUUUCUUCAGAUGUGUAAUCCUAUUUUUCCGAGAUAUAUGUAUUUCUUCUUGCUCAUUCUUUUGGGCUUAGGGGCAGUAGAAUAAUCAGAAUAUACCUGGAGUGUUUGUACCAUCUGCAUACACUUUAGCUCAAAAUAAUAAUGUGCUUCCUGUUACUUGCUCUGUUUUGAUAAUGUACAUACAUCAGUUGUGAUAUAUAUAAUUGGUAGCAGAUAAACAAUAUUAGUUUUCCAGUGAAUGAUUUUAGAUUCUUCCAUGAAAGCAUCUCCCCCCUUUUUUCGGUUUUUAUUUCAUGAAAUGAGUUACGAUGACUGUCGUGAUAUAUUUCUUCUCUUAAUAUUUAUUACCAUGAACUAGAGUAUCCAGUGUGUGUAGUUGUAUACCACCUUUUUAGAAAAGAAUCAUAAAUUGCUACUAUACAUUUAUCAGGGUGUGUAGCAUCAGAUCUACACCUUGCAGAAAACAACUCAAGGAGUAAUGCUAAAAUAUUUGUCACUUCUGGUUCAGUCCAGGGGUAAAUUAAAUAUGUAAAGUUCGUCGUGCAAUUUAGAUUGUUAAUUGGAUUAUAUGCAUGAUGAUAUCUCUUCUAUUUUUUUGGUCAAAUACCUUGAGCCGAGGAUAUUAUUAUGACAGGCUUAGCAUUAGUGCAGUGCGGAAGUAACUGUUCUUAGAUUCUCAUGCUAACAAUAAUAUAUUUUGAUCGUUUUCUAUGGUUGAGAAGAUAUAUAUGGUCAAUGCAAGAUUGAAUUUAUUUAUUUGUGGAUACUGGCAGCGCACAUGUCGAUGUUCGGCAGGGUAUCGACAUCUGCGGUUUCACCAUCUCUGCACCAUCCCGAGGUCUUGCAUCUGCUUCUCCUUCUCGGCAGAAGAUGGUAGUCGGUCAAAUAUCUGUAGCCCCUAUGUGUGGUUGUUCAGCAGGGUAUCGCCAACAACGAUUUCCCCAUCUCUGCAUCAUCUUGAGAUUAUAUGGUGGAAAGAGGAGGCAUAGAGGGGGGGUGUAGUGGGAAGAAGAGAGGGUGAGAGAGGAGGAAGUGGAGACCCUGCCGGCGUAUUGGUGAAAAACCACCUCCCUGACUUUCUACACCAUGGGUUAUCAUCUAAAAUUGAUUUUUAGAGGAAUCAGGACAUGUUCUUUUUUCCUUUCCACAGUUUCUCAUCUAAAAUGGAUUUUUAGAGGAAUCAGGAUCUGGUUCCUGGACCAUUUGCUAUGUACUGAAUGUGUAUGUACCAAUGCAAUGCUUCUGAUAGAAAUUUGAUAUAUUAGAUUGACAAACAUAACUAAAUUAUACAAUUUUUUUUAUAUUUGCAAUGAUUCAAUGACUAUAUUACUGA